rnacentral:rRNA from 1 species
CCCUUAGAUGUCCAGGGCCGCACGCGCGUUACACUGAUGCAUUCAACGAGCUUAUAACCUUGGCCGAGAGGCCUGGGCAAUCUUGUUAACGUGCAUCGUGAUAGGGAUAGAUUAUUGAAAUUAUUAAUCUUGAACGAGGAAUUCCUAGUAAACGCAGAUCAUCAAUCUGCAUUGAUUACGUCCCUGCCCUUUGUACACACCGCCCGUCGCACCUACCGAUUGGAUGGUCCGGUGAAGCCUCGGGAUUGUGGUUCUUGCCGCUUUAUUGUGGCGUGACCGCGAGAACUUGUCUAAACCUUAUCAUCUAGAGGAAGGUGAAGUCGUAACA